AGUUGCAGCCAUAUCCUGGUGAAAAUACGGCUUCCCGUCCGAUCAGCCAUAGUCAAGCACCAGAGAGCCUAGUUAGUAUUGUAGUGGGAGACCAUACGAGAAUCCUACAGUAGGUGCUGCAAUUU
rfam:Yarrowia lipolytica strain CLIB122 chromosome B complete sequence.